UUUUGAUCAAAGCAGAAGGGCGUUAUCGCGAAGCUGACGUCUGCUAGGCCUGUGGAUUUGCACAGGUAGGCUGCAGCAUGGAGCCAACAAGAGAAUUGCUUGUUCAGUGGAAAAAAGAUGGCUCCAAAAAACGUGGUAGUGUAUGGAGACAUAUUCAAUGUCCCUGUAUUCCAAUAAAAGGGACAAAAGUCUUCAUGCCUUGGAAAGGCAGGAGAUGGGAGGGAGUUGUCCUGUCAGUGGAUGAUGAGUCUGAGGAAAGUGAUGAUGACAGCAUACCAGAUCAACCAAGGCUUGACGUUGGAGAUGUCGGUGUCGGUGUCAGAAUGACAGACCAUGGACCUCUACCAGAUCAACCAAGGCUUGACUUUGGAGAUGUCGGGUCACAAUGACAGACAUGCCUCAUUGAAGUUCAAAUGUGUCAACAUUUCAUAUGUUUACAUGAAGUGUUUAGUACAUGCUCCCAGUGUCUUGUUUCCCUGUGUGAACACCACUUCAAAGAGGAAGACCCAUGUGCAAACCACAAUAACUAUGCUCAUCUACUUCAAAUUCCGGAGAGGUUUUCAGAAGAUCAUCCAGCGAUCGACACAGUUCUGGAAUUGAUGACGGUUGUUCCCUUAGCAAUCGAAGUGCAGGAGACAGUUGACAUAGUUUCAAGUUAUCCAAGCAGACAGUGAAGGUAGUACUGAAAAAUAUUAAUGUCUCAAAUGUCACCAAUUUGAGUUUGUAGUUUACAGUGGGCAUUGUCUUUAGGAAUUAUAAGUCAGUUUGUUGGAAUUAUGCUGUUGCAGACACCUCUACAAUAUUCAUUAAUCAAAACAACAACCUCUUAAGCUAACUUUUGAACCAUUUAUUUCUCCUACAAUAUUUACUUCAAAAAUGGGUUUUACAUUUCUAUGUCAUAAAGUUUAUUCUUGUGUACUUUACAGAGAGUGGCUUCUACACAGAGAUAUUGGAGAACGUCCUGAACAAUGUGAGGUAAAAGUCUGAAGCUUUAAAAUGGUUGCCUGUUACAAAUUCUGCCCAGGGAGUGGAGAAUUUUCUUUGAAAAAGAUAAAUGUAUUUUUGUUGUACCAGAAAAUGGCUGGUGUACAUCUCUUUAGACAGAGUAAAUGGAAUAAUUGCUCUGCUUCCCUCUGAUGGAGGGGUUCUGGGAUAAAUGACCAUGCAGACGUACUGCAAUUCUCUUCUUUCUCCUCCCAUCUCUCUUUCUCUCUCUCUCUCUUUCACUCCCUUAUUUCUUGAUGAUGGCUGGGUUUAAAGGUGGGGUAGGGGAGAGAGUGAAUGUAUUGGUUCAUUAAAUCAAGGCAAGAGAGGAGAAGCAAAAGGAGAGAAGCAUGCCAGUCAUAUUGCAAGGUUACAGUCAUUUACAUUGACUUGCUGCAGUGUUGACUCCUUCAUCCUUCACCAGUACUUUUACUUUUAUAGAAUUUUGCACUCUGUACAGUUCAAAGCAUGAAUAUGUUAAACUAAUAUUUUGUCCACCACUUUUAUAUUUUUUAUUCUAAUACAGAAUAAGAGAGCCAGGAAACGUAUUGCAGAUCCCAACAGCUGCUACAGUUUCACUUAUUGUCAUACUUUUUUGUAUCCCCUUUGAUAAUGCUGAAAUAUUUUUGAAGUAUUUUCUCUUUUGUUAACUUACUGCACAGUACGUUAACUGCAGAAUACACAAAGUUCUUUUAAGAGCUACCAUGUUGUAAUUUCUGCCAUGAACAUGUGCUACAGUUUCACUUAUUGUCAUACAAUUUUGUUUAUUUGCCUUUGAUAAUGCUGAUAUAUUGUUCAAGUAUUUUCUCUUUUGUAAACUUACUGCACAGUUUUUAAAACUAUGCUACAAAAGCUCACUAGAGCUAGAACAGA